GACGAACGCUGGCGGCGUGCUUAACACAUGCAAGUCGAACGGAAAGGCCCUGCGUUUGUGGGGUGCUCGAGUGGCGAACGGGUGAGUAACACGUGAGUAACCUGCCCUUGACUUUGGGAUAACUUCAGGAAACUGCGGCUAAUACCGGAUAGGAGCUCCUGCUGCAUGGUGGGGGUUGGAAAGUGUCGGCGGUUGGGGAUGGACUCGCUGCGUAUCAGCUUGUUGGGGGGGUUGUGGCUUACCAAGCCUUUGACGGGUAGCCGGCCUGAGCGGGUGACAGGCGACAUUGGGACUGAGAGACGGCACAGACUCCUACGGGAGGCAGCAGGGGGAAAUAUUGCACAAUGAGCGGAAGCCUGAUGCAGCAGCGCCGCGUGCGGGAUGACGGCGUUCGGGUGGUAAACCGCUUUCGCAUGUGACGAAGCGUGAGUGACGGUAAUGUGUAAAGAAGCACCGGCUAACUACGUG
rnacentral:rRNA from 1 species